UAUUACUAUCACAAAGCAAGUAAAACUACAUUUUGAAACGUAUUUCUCAGUGAUGAUAGGUAACUGAAUUUAAUUACUUCUGGGAAACGCAAAAGGAAAAAAAUAACCUCACUGGCCUUUGGGAAAAUUUGACAUAUUCUGGAGGUCUCUGUUUUAAAUUCAGUUUAUUUUGCUUACUAGUGGCCAAAAAACACCAACAAACUUCUUAUAUAUUGAUUGGUAUUUAUUGUGUAUCUUUCAACUUGAUUAAUAGUCUUUUUCUAAGCUAUCAUCUUGAUGAUGCAUCUAUUUCCGUAGUCUCACUCUACUUUGGUUUCCAUUAUUUGAAUCAUCUUUUUCACUGGAGAGAGUAGAGCAUAGAUGUUGAAAAGACUGAUAUCUGAAUACAGACUUGGUUGUAGCUAUGUGACCUUGGACAAGUUUCAUAACCUCUUCUUGCCUUAUUUUCUUUGCUUGUAGAAUGAUAAUAAUAGUAUGUCUCACUUACCUGUAGUAAUGAUUAAAUACAUAUCACAUCCACAGCAAAUAAUAGUUUCUCCCGUGUGCUUCAGCAGCUCAUUUACCUAGUCGUAUACUAAAGAUGUCACUGCCAGAACUAUUCUAUCAUUCAGAUCGUGAACCCUAAAAAUAUCUAUUCUGAUUACUACAUUCUUGCCUUCUAAAUGCAUUUUCUUUCAUUCCCUCAUGACUAAGAUUUCCCUUUUUCUCUAGUUCCUUGAGCUAUUCUUACAUCAUGGUUUCCAAAUGUUUAUACUUCAUGGGCCAAAAAAAAAUUGAGAGACUGAUGAAGUAUUAUCAAUUUAUUGGCAAGUAAGAAUGUUAAAAUAACAAAUACCAUCACAUGUUGAAGUUAUGAAAUUAUUUGUGUUAUUUUAAAAAAUAUGUGUUAUCUGAUAAACUACAUACUCCACCAGGUAUACUCAUGAAGAAUCUACCUUGAUCGCCUAGAAUAUGCAGAUCUAGUGCCUAAGAUGUCCUUGGCGUGUACACCCUGUGGAAUCUGGUUCAUCUCCAAUCUGUCAGAAGGCAUCAGAGGUGGUUUUGACUCCGUAUGUCUUGGACCUGUGUACAAAAAGUACGGGCAGGAGAGGAUGCAGGAGACUGUACAAAGUUCAAGAAACGAUAUGCUUUAA
rnacentral:lncRNA from 1 species